GCCUGAGUAGCCCAACGGCAGAGGCCGCUUGCUCAAAACAAGUUCAGGUGCAGGUUCAACUCCUGCCUCAGGCACCA
rnacentral:tRNA from 1 species